AACUAACAAGGAUUCCCCUAGUAACGGCGAGUGAAGAGGGAAGAGCCCAAGAUUGAAAGCUGGCGUCUUCGGCGUCCGCAUUGUAAUCUCAAGAAGUGUUUUCCGCUUCGGACCAUGCCUAAGUCCCUUGGAAAAGGGCAUCAUAGAGGGUGAUAAUCCCGUACAUGGCAUGGAGCGCCCGAGGCUUUGUGAUACGCUUUCUAAGAGUCGAGUUGUUUGGGAAUGCAGCUCAAAAUGGGUGGUAAAUGCCAUCUAAGGCUAAAUAUUGGGGAGAGACCGAUAGCGAACAAGUACAGUGAUGGAAAGAUGAAAAGAACUUUGAAAAGAGAGUUAAACAGUACGUGAAAUUGCCAAAAGGGAAGGGUAGGAGGUCAGAGAUGCGUCUUGGGAUUCAGCCUUGCUUUUGCUUGGUGUUUUUCCCAAGUUGCAGGCCAACGUCGGUUUUGGGCACUGGAGAAGGGUGGAAGGAACGUGGCACCUCUCGGGGUGUGUUAUAGCCUUCUACUGGAUACAGCGACCGAGACCGAGGACAGCAGCGUACUCGCAAGAGCGGGC
rnacentral:rRNA from 1 species